GUGAGCGCUGGCGGUAGGCCUAACCCAUGCAAGUCGAACGGCAGCACAGUAAGAGCUUGCUCUUACGGGUGGCGAGUGGCGGACGGGUGAGGAAUACAUCGGAAUCUACUUUUUCGUGGGGGAUAACGUAGGGAAACUUACGCUAAUACCGCAUACGACCUACGGGUGAAAGCAGGGGAUCUUCGGACCUUGCGCGAUUGAAUGAGCCGAUGUCGGAUUAGCUAGUUGGCGGGGUAAAGGCCCACCAAGGCGACGAUCCGUAGCUGGUCUGAGAGGAUGAUCAGCCACACUGGAACUGAGACACGGUCCAGACUCCUACGGGAGGCAGCAGUGGGGAAUAUUGGACAAUGGGCGCAAGCCUGAUCCAGCCAUACCGCGUGGGUGAAGAAGGCCUUCGGGUUGUAAAGCCCUUUUGUUGGGAAAGAAAAGCAGCAGGUUAAUACCCCGCUGUUCUGACGGUACCCAAAGAAUAAGCACCGGCUAACUUCGUG
rnacentral:rRNA from 1 species